GACGAACGCUGGCGGCGUGCUUAACACAUGCAAGUCGAACGAUGAAGCCUUUCGGGGUGGAUUAGUGGCGAACGGGUGCGUAACACGUGGGCAAUCUGCCGAGAAGUGGGGGAUAGCUCGCCGAAAGGCGAAUUAAUACCGCAUGUGAUCAUCCCGCGAUUGCGGGAGAAAUCAAAGGUGCCGCAAGGUACCGCUUUUUGAGGAGCCCGCGGCCUAUCAGCUUGUUGGUGAGGUAACGGCUCACCAAGGCUUUGACGGGUAGCUGGUCUGAGAGGACGACCAGUCACACUGGAACUGAGACACGGUCCAGACACCUACGGGUGGCAGCAGUCGAGAAUUUUUCUCAAUGGGGGCAACCCUGAAGGAGCGACGCCGCGUGGAGGAUGAAGGCUUUUCGGGUUGUAAACUCCUGUCAUUUGAGAACAAGGUGCACCCGUUUACUGCGUGUGCAUUGAUAGUAUCAGAAGAGGAAGAGACGCUAACUCUGUGCCAGCA
rnacentral:rRNA from 1 species